UACGUAGGGUGCAAGCGUUGUCCGGAAUUAUUGGGCGUAAAGAGCUCGUAGGCGGUUUGUCGCGUCUGCUGUGAAAAUCCAGGGCUUAACCCUGGACCUGCAGUGGAUACGGGCAGACUAGAGGUAGGUAGGGGAGAAUGGAAUUCCCGGUGUAGCGGUGAAAUGCGCAGAUAUCGGGAGGAACACCGGUGGCGAAGGCGGGUCUCUGGGCCGAUACUGACGCUGAGGAGCGAAAGCGUGGGGAGCGAACAGG
rnacentral:rRNA from 1 species